UAAUAUAAGUGUUUUAUGGCACUUUUUAAAUCCAUAUCCACCUUGUGUGCAAUGUCGGUCGAUCUUCUUCAUGGAGAUCGACCAAACAUCAACCUUUAUCUUUUAACUCUUUGUCUGAAAAAUAUUAUGAAUAAACAAUUCAAAAUA
rnacentral:misc_RNA from 1 species